AUUGAACGCUGGCGGCAGGCCUAACAAAUGCAAGUCGAGCGGAGCGGCGGACGGGUGAGUAAUGCCUAGGAAUCUGCCUGGUAGUUGGGGAUAACGUCCGGCAACGGGCGCUAAUACCUCAUACUAUCAUAUGGACCUAGGUCGGAUUAGCUAGUUGGUGGGGUAAGGGCCUACCAAGGCGACGAUCCGUAACUGGGCUGAGAGGAGGAUCAGUCACACUGGAACUGAGACACGGUCCAGACUCCUACGGGAGGCAGCAGUGGGGAAGAUUGGACAAUGGGCGAAAGCCUGAUCCAGCCAUGCCGCGUGUGUGAAGAAGGUCUUCGGAUUGUAAAGCACUUUAAGUUGGGAGGCGUUACCAACAGAAUAAGCACCGGCUAACUUCGUGCCAGCAGCCGCGGUAAUUC
rnacentral:rRNA from 1 species